UACAUAUUUUCUUUAAUUUCCUUACUUUAGUAUUUCAUUAUUAUUAUUCUUUUAAACUUUUAAAUUAUUAUUUCAAUUACUUUAAUGGCAGAAAAAAAAAACUGAAAUUAAAUUUGAAUAAGGAAUAGAAAAUUGAAUUAGAAAAAAAAAAACAUCGAUAAAUUUUGUCCUACCUGAGCACCCCUAUUUCCACCUAAAUUGCACCUCAAAAGACAGCAGCCGUUACUCCAUCGCAACAAUCCACCUCGCGACACCCCACAUCGCGAGCCGUCUGUCAGUACGAUAGUAUUGGUACGAUGUAGACUCCCGACGCCAACGAAGGAAUAAAACUGCUCGUCAUCGUGGAGCAGGGAUCAAUAGUGAACGCCUAGUAUGGCUUUGUGACACCAGUCCAGCUUGGUUGAACCAGCACGUGCAAGAGAAGCCGCCGGUGUGCCAGAUUCCUGUUGGCCCGGCAGACACGGAGAAAUCUUGCGGAGUGAAACGGAUGGAUUGCCGGUGUGCCAGAUUCUACUUGGCCCGGCCACCCGCAGAAGUGCAAGUUGUGUAAUAAAACGCCAAGAAGAACAGAAGAAGCCAGUGUCUCGAUUAAGGCGUGGUAGUGAAGUGAUCGGAGGAAUUACCGGCGCGCCAGACCCAAUUUGGCCUGGUCGUCCGUACCAACAACAUCCAGACGGGAAUCUCCGGUGUGCCAGACCCUACUUGGCUCGGUUGUCCGUUCCGACAGUCCGACGAAGAAGCCGCAGUGUACCCGUACCAGCAUCCAAACGGGAAUCCCCGGUGUGCCAGACCCUACUUGGCCCGGUCGCCCGUUCCGACAACCCGACGAAGAAGCCGCAGUGUACCCUUUCAGUAUGGCGCUGGACCCGAGUGAACGGCUGAAGACACUCGCUGGUCAUUCCGGCGAGCCCAGGAUCUAAACCGUCGGGACGACUCUCACCGACUAGUUUUGAAGGUCACCUGAAGGACGAGAGAGGCCCCAUGUUCGAACCAGGAUCGAGCAGCCUUUGGUCGGUAAUGUGCAUUAUUUCCUUACUUUUCCCAUAUCCUUCAUUGAACUUUUGAUUUGAAUCUAACGAGCAUGAAUAUAAACCCGAAAUGUUAAAUUAACUAGCCUGCAGUGUUGGAAAUUAUUAUAUAACCGCUGAGCCCUAAAAUCAACCAUCUUUCGUGUCUAGUCUACCUUGCCAGUUUUUUUUAGGGGAAGAUUGUCCGUAAUCCAUCCAAUUUCCUCGUCGGAGCCAUAGUGAACGACCC